rnacentral:rRNA from 1 species
AACGAACGCUGGCGGCAGGCUUAACACAUGCAAGUCGAACGCCCCGCAAGGGGAGUGGCAGACGGGUGAGUAACGCGUGGGAACAUACCCUUUUCUACGGAAUAGCUCUGGGAAACUGGAAUUAAUACCGUAUACGCCCUACGGGGGAAAGAUUUAUCGGGGAAGGAUUGGCCCGCGUUGGAUUAGCUGGUUGGUGGGGUAAAGGCCUACCAAGGCGACGAUCCAUAGCUGGUCUGAGAGGAUGAUCAGCCACAUUGGGACUGAGACACGGCCCAAACUCCUACGGGAGGCAGCAGUGGGGAAUAUUGCACAAUGGGCGCAAGCCUGAUCCAGCCAUGACGCGUGAGUGAUGAAGGCCUUAGGGUUGUAAAGCUCUUUCACCGAUGAAGAUAAUGACGGUAGUCGGAGAAGAAGCCCCGGCUAACUUCGUG